AGGGUAUUUCAUUCAUCCAUAAAUCUGAUGUGGCAUUUUUGGAAACAGUGACAUGAAAUCCCUAUUGUGAAUAGCCUGAGAAUCAGGUAUUUAAUGGACGCUCCAUCAUCCCUGAGAAUCAGGAUGAUUAAUGAUACUAAAAAGGAGGAGGAGGAUGAACAGGCUAGGCGAUUUCACAUGUCUCAGAUGAACAGGCGUCCAAAAAGACGCCUUUUUCUCCACCACCUCUCCUCUCCUCUCCUCUCCUGUCCUGUGGCCCCCGUGAUGGUGGGGAGGAGUGCUCUGCUCCGCUCUGCUGGGAAGGUGUCUGAAUCGGAAUCUAGUCUCAGUGCGCCGCAACACCGCCGCACAGUGCUCGACAGCUCUGGAGGGAUUCUUCGCCUUUUCGGAGCUAUAAGACAAACAGCGACCCUAAAGUCUGAAUCUCUUGUUGAGAAUGUCUGGCGUGUACGUGUGUGCGCUGAAGAGAGGCUUCCAAGAACGGCGUGCCGCGUGCGUCGUCGUUAAAAGUCCCCAGCAUCAGGCCGGCCGGCCACGCGGUCUUGGCUGGGCAGGUGGAUAGAUGGCUGAGGAGAUGCCCGCCAUGGCCGGCGAAGCAAGAGCACAAGAACACAUGUUUGUUCGGAUGACAGAGAUGUUUAAGGUAGAUAGACACACAGAGACACAGGGAGGGAGCGAGACGGUACCUUUUCAGGGAGGUAGUUCUCCU
rnacentral:misc_RNA from 1 species